GAGCUUUCGGAGCUCGGCGUACCGCUCAGUAACACGUGGGUAACCUAACCUAUGCAGGGGAAUAACCUCGGGAAACUGAGUAUAAUGCCCCAUAGUCCACUACGCCUGGAACGGUGAGUGGAUCAAAGCUCAGGCGGCAUAGGAUGGGCCUGCGGCGUAUCAGGUUGUAGGGGGUGUAAAGUACCCUCUAGCCAUCUACGCGUACGGGUGUUGGGAGACAUAGCCCGGAGAUGGAUUCUGAGACACGAAUCCAGACCCUACGGGGUGCAGCAGGCGCGAAAACUUGACAAUGCGAGCAAUCGUGAUCAGGGAACUCCAAGUGGCUGGGGUAAGACCCAGUCUUUUCAUAACUCUUCAAAGGUUGUAGAAUAAGGGGUGGGUAAGGACGGUGCCAGCCGCCGCGGUAAUACCGGCGCCUCAAGUGGUAGUCGCUUUUAUUGGGCCUAAAACGUCCGUAGCCGGUUUGGUACAUUCGUGGGUAAAUCAACUCGCUCAACGAGUUGAAUUCUGCGAGGACGGCCAGACUUGGGACCGGGAGAGGUGUGGGGUACUCUCAGGGUAGGGGUAAAAUCCUGUCAUCCUGAGAGGACCACCUGUUGCGAAGGCGCCACACUAGAACGGAUCCGACGGUCAGGGACGAAGCCUAGGGGCACGAACCGGAUUAGAUACCCGGGUAGUCCUAGGUGUAAACGCUGUGGACUUGAUGUUGGAGAAGCUCCGAGCUUCUUCAGUGUCGAAGCGAAGGU
rnacentral:rRNA from 1 species